AUGAAGAAUGGCUGCUCCAUUAUGACUGAUGCUUGCUCAGAUAGGAAAAGCAGAAGCAUAAUGAACGUGUGCACAAACAGUGCUAAUGGUUCAAGUUUUAUAAGGUCGAGUGAGAUGUCGGCUAUAUCACACACAAGUGAAGUCAUCUUACAAUUAGGGGAUGAAGCAAUUGAGGAAGUAGGUCCUAAAAAUGUGGUCCAAGUAGUGACUGAUAAUGCUUCUAAUAACAUGGGGGCAAAGAAGAUGUUGUUGGAGAAGCGGCCGAACAUGUUUUGGAGCUCUUGUGCGACGCAAACCAAUAACUUGAUGUUGUAA
rnacentral:rRNA from 1 species